GGUGGUAGUAGUAGUGGUAUGGGUAGUAAUGGUAAUGAUAGCAGUUUAGUGAUGGUGGUGGUAGUAGUGGUAUGGGUAGUAAUGGUAAUGAUAGCAGUUUAGUGGUGGUGGUGGUAGUAGUAGUGGUAUGGGUAGUAAUGGUAAUGAUAGCAGUUUAGUGAUGGUGGUGGUAGUAGUAGUGGUAUGGGUAGUAAUGGUAAUGAUAGCAGUUUAGUGAUGUGAGUGGUGGUGGUAGUAGUAGUAGUGGUAUGGGUAGUAAUGGUAAUGAUAGCAGUUUAGUGAUGGUAGUAGUGGUAGUGGUAUGGGUAGUAAUGGUAAUGAUAGCAGUUUAGUGAUGGUGGUGGUAGUAGUAGUGGUAUGGGUAGUAAUGGUAAUGAUAGCAGUUUAGUGAUGGUGGUAGUAGUAGUAGUGGUAUGGGUGGUAAUGGUAAUGAUAGCAGUUUAGUGAUGGUGGUGGUGGUAGUAGUAGUAGUGGUAUGGGUGGUAAUGGUAAUGAUAACAGUUUAGUGAUGGUGGUAGUAGUAGUAGUGGUAUGGGUAGUAAUGGUAAUGAUAGCAGUUUAGUGAUGGUGGUGGUAGUAGUGGUAUGGGUAGUAAUGGUAAUGAUAACAGUUUAGUGAUGGUGGUAGUAGUAGUAGUGGUAUGGGU
rnacentral:lncRNA from 1 species